rnacentral:lncRNA from 1 species
UUGGAUUCAAGGCAAGGUAUUAUGGUUCAUUCAAUAUCCAUUAUUCAAUUCAUUUCAAGAGGUCAAGUUUUAUUCAAAGCAUUCAAGUUCAAUUCAAUUUCAAAUAUUCAAAUGCAAUUUGGAGGGAAAAUUGUGUUUCUUAGAAUACAUGUCAGAUGCUACAAUUCAAGGGCCACUUUCAUUACAAAUCACCCAAAGUUCCAUUACAAGAAGUUCAAAAUCCAAUUCUACAAAAAAAUAUAAAUUGUUGACCUAAAGUUGACUUUGGUCAAUAAUUGACCAAAGUCAAACUAACUAUUCUAGCCCCUAAAUCCACUUUGGUCUCCCCUUUUCAAGAUUCUCUUCAAUCAUGCCAUGAUUUUCCUUCAUGAUCCAUUUGGUUCCAUGAAAAUUUUGGUCCAUGUCUUCAAACUCUGCCACCACCAUGCUUAAGCCAUGUCUUCAAACCUUGCCAUCCCACACCAAAUAUCAUAAGCCCACUAGUCCUGUUGCAAAUACAGUAAAAAAACUCAACCAAACAUACAUGGCAAGUUUGAUUUCAGAGAUUCAAUCAAUUCACAAGUUAGACUAACAUCACUAACAACUCGUAUUCACAAUCAUGCUUCCAACUGUAACUAACAUAAGCAUCAACCACACUAACCUCCAUAAACUAACUCAUUCAAACUACAAGUCAAGAACAUAACAAACACUGAAAUUACAACAAGCUAAAACCAACUUCUCACAACCCUAUACUAAUUGUAAUUCAAAAUCCAAACAUUCUAACAUCACUAACUUCAACUAACAGUUGAUUCAAUUAAAAAAACUAACACUCCAAUUCUUUAAACUAGCUACUACUAACAGAACAAUUCAAAUUCAGGCAUAACAAAUUUUCACAACAAUUUCGAACAACUCUAAAACCAUUAACAAUAACAUCCUAACCAACUUCAAUAACAAGUUGCCAAUACAUGCAAAUAAAGUCCCAUAGGGCCAUACCAGUUCAAGCAAUGUAGUCAUCAUAGAAAUUCAUUCACAUGAUAAUCUCACUGCUUUAACAAGACAAUAGCAACUCAGUUCAUAACUUCAAAUUCAAAACUAACUUUCAUAACACUUUAACAUAGCAUCACUAACAACUUAUUAACACAUAAUUUCCAAGUUAUAACACUGACAGCCACAAAUUCACUCAAUACACAUUUUGAACAAAUCUAACAAGUUUCACUUCAAUUCAACAUCAAACUCAAACUCUAUCAACAACCCAAAUCAGUUCCACAUUGGCAGACAUCUAGCAUAGUAUUUCAAUGUUCAUUCACUAAUUCACCAACAUUCAAGAUUUUAAACAAUUCUAACUGUAGCAAUUCAUAUCAACAACAUUAACUAUAACUAACUCCUAACAUAUUUUCAAUCACAACUAACAUACCCUAACUGUUUUACUAAAUCUAACAAUUCCAAUCCAAUAACAGUAGCAACAUAACUAACUGAUUAUUUUUCAUAUUGAAAUUCAUACUAACAGAUUUCCCUCCUUCACUAAAUUCGAUUUCAGUUCAUUUCAAUGAUUGAACACUAAAAAAAUCUAACUAAUUUUUCCAAAACCUCUAACUGCUAACAACAUGUUAUCAACAAUUAACCUAACUGAUUUCACUAACGGGUUCAACUCAUAACAAACUAAACUAAGAGAAUUUCACAAUGUCAGUUCAUAACUAACAACCUUCCUCUCAAUUUCACUAACCACUUAACCCUGCCCUAACAGAGUUGACCAAUUUCCCAAAGUUGUUACAGAUUUAACCCUCUAUAUAAUUCUCAUCCUCUUCAAUCAUUAAUCAACAAUCACCACUCCACAAAAAACCUGCAGAAUUUUCAUAAUCUCACUCAAUCUGAAUUCUCUCUCUGCAACUCUCAAACACACUUUACAGUCACUCACACACAUAACACAACAACAACAAUCAGCCUUCCUACAAACUAACAUCCAAGAAGAAGAAGAAGAAGAAGAAUAAGAAGGAAUUGGUGAAAAAGAGCAAAGAAUUCAAAGUUACCUUGAUCGUUUUUCUCUGGUAUUUUCAUCUUCGUCCACAACUUCGGGUGCUUAAACAAUCUCCAAGGCAGCCUCCGCCUUGUAGGUAAGCCCUCCAAACUUCACUCAUUUUCUCCAUUUGGGUUACCAACAUGUAGCUCUUGAUGAGGGGAAUCAAAGCCCCAAGGUUGUGUGGCUUGAUUCCUCUCCUUGACGAUUUAAUUUUAGUUUGAAAUAUUAGGGUUCAUGUAAGGUUUAAUUUGAUUUGGAAUUUGGAGAAACAUGGUGGAGAUUGUGAAAGAGGGUUGGAUGUGUUUGAUUGAGUGAAAAGUGUUUUAUUUCAC